AAAAGAAAUUGGUUGAAGUGAAAUGCUUAGAGAUGGCAAUUGAAGAUGCCAAUGUUUACCACAAGGUCCUGGACACUGCCAUCAUGCGCUUCCACAGUGAGAAGAUGAAAAUCCUAACCCACAUUGUGCGGGAGCUCUGGCGACAGACCUACAAAGGGAAUGACAUUGAUUACAUAGAAAUAAAAACAAAAGAAGCAGAGGCCAAAGGAGCUGACAAGCGACAGAAAUACGACUACAGAGUUGUUAUGGUGAAAAAUGACACUGAGAUGGACAUGCGUGGGAGAUGCUCAGCUGGACAGAAGGUGCUGGCAUCACUGCUCAUCAGGUACUGCUAAGCAAGUCUAAUUUAUCUUAGCCUUUUACUAAAAACCCUUUAGAAACUUUAACUAACAUAAAUGCCUGUGUAAAAGUUGAAUAUUUCAGAGGUCAACUUUUACAUGAUGCUAUUUUUAGGGGG